GAUGAACGCUAGCGACAGGCCUAACACAUGCAAGUCGAGGGGCAGCACAUGAGUAGCAAUACGAUGGUGGCGACCGGCGCACGGGUGAGUAACACGUAUGCAACCUGCCUUCUACUAUGGGAUAACCCGUUGAAAGACGGACUAAUAUCGUAUAAUACAGGGGCUCCGCAUGGAGAUAUUUGUUAAAGAUUUAUUGGUAGAAGAUGGGCAUGCGUAUGAUUAGCUAGUUGGUAAGGUAACGGCUUACCAAGGCAACGAUCAUUAGGGGUUCUGAGAGGAAGGUCCCCCACACUGGUACUGAGACACGGACCAGACUCCUACGGGAGGCAGCAGUGAGGAAUAUUGGUCAAUGGACGAGAGUCUGAACCAGCCAAGUCGCGUGAAGGAAGACGGUUCUAUGAAUUGUAAACUUCUUUUGUGCAGGAAUAAAGUGGGUUACGUGUAACCUUUUGUAUGUACUGUACGAAUAAGGAUCGGCUAACUCCGUGCCAGCAGCCGCGGUAACAC
rnacentral:rRNA from 1 species